AAAUUGAAGAGUUUGAUCAUGGCUCAGAUUGAACGCUGGCGGCAGGCUUAACACAUGCAAGUCGAGCGGAAACGAGUUAUCUGAACCUUCGGGGAACGAUAACGGCGUCGAGCGGCGGACGGGUGAGUAAUGCCUAGGAAAUUGCCCUGAUGUGGGGGAUAACCAUUGGAAACGAUGGCUAAUACCGCAUGAUGCCUACGGGCCAAAGAGGGGGACCUUCGG
rnacentral:rRNA from 1 species